AAUCCUCUCGUGCCGACCAAAAAUCCCAAGAAAAAACCAACCCUUACGGUUGGUUUUUUUAUAUCUGCAAUUAAUUC
rnacentral:tRNA from 1 species